GGAUCGGCAGGGACACCAGGAGAAGCGCUCCGCCAUGCCCCUCAAUGACGUGAAGGUCAGCAAAGAUGAAGACGACAGACCCAGAAGUGUUGCAGAGCUAGCUCUGCAAGCAAGCCUCCGUCACUGUCUGCUGAAUCCCAUUUAUACUCCUUCCAAAGAUCACAGCUCCUUCCCCAGGACUCACCUCGGCCAAACACCACGUGAGCCUGUCUUAGCAAAACUCCAGGUACUUGGAGAGAAUAUCUGAUUCCAUGACUGCUUCUAUUUCUUGCUGGAAAGAAGCUUUCUCCUGGAUGGCAUAUCAAAAGAAGCCUUGGGAAACCAUGCCUUGAGCUAGGACAUGCCACGAGGUGGAAGA